GUCAAAUAGAGGACAGUGGUUUACGUCAGCAGAACCCCGUGGGCCUAUACACUGUUUUCCUCGCCCACAAGGAUGAAAGAGAGAUGAAUAUUCAUAAGUCAUUCUCAAAUACAUGCUGGUAAAAUUUUUCACUGUCGGUAAAGAGGCGAAGCUUUCAAGACGUUACUACUAAGAGCGCAAAGCCACACGUGACAAAUCAUGGCCCUACUUCGUGUUGUUCUGGCUGUGCUCGUACUCGGAGGUGUUUGCUCGUGGUCUUUUGCUACAAAGCCAGAUUGUCCACCUGACCAGCCUCCCGCCAACUGCCCUAUUAACCCGUGUUUCCUUGCAUAUUGCCCAGCGGGGACGACCUGUGUACCUCGUUUUUGCGGGGGAUGUCGGCAUGAGUGUAGAAAAAGGUGGCCAUAACCGACAGAAGUACAAGCCUGGAGAUAGUUUUCAAUCCACUGACCGAUGCAACAGGUGCUGACGCACCUCAAAUGGAGGUGUGGUGUGCUCGGAAAAAGCAUGCAUAAAGCUACUAAUAUCUUAAAAGGAGCCAAUAUGUGGAAUGUGCAAGAUGUCUGAACCACAUUAUCCUAGAAUAACAGGUAGAAAGAAGAGGAAUGAACAUUCAUAGGGAACCUCGGGGCCACUUUCACAAAGAUGUCUUACUCGUACGAUAUCGCACGGAUAGGACAAUGGUACGUUAAUAAUGACGUACAAAAUAUCGUAUGACAAUGUAAGAAAAAUAAAUGUCGUACGCCGCUUUGUGAAAAUGGCCCCAGUUCUACAUUAACGGGUGUAAGAUAAGCCUUAUCACGGACAUGGGUACAAGUACAGCUAAGUGUAGACAGAAAAAUAAGUAAAAAAAGUAAUUAGCUUUGGUUUGUGACCAUAUCUUGGUCUCUACAUAUUAUGCAUCCCUGAGUCUAUGAAUAAACUGUUCUCAGUCAGUGUUAUUGUAUGUACGUUUAAAUUAAAGCGGCAAUCAUCUCUGCA